AUUUUUUUGGAAACGGUGCAUUACCUUGUAAUAAGAGUGGUAUCAUUAUAAUCGUGGACUAAAGCUCUAUCAACUACAAUAUUUUUUACAACCAAAUUCGUGCUAUGGGAUAUUUAUUUACGUGAUUUACCUGUUUUAGCUGUACACACUGGGAGAAGAUGAGGUACCGACAGUCACCACAAUUUCUUCGUCGUCAUUAAAAUUAGUUCCUGGGAAGACAUUUCAGCGUCACGUGACCGUACGGAACAUUGAGAACGACCCGCUGGUCUCGCAGACGAGCCGUGAGCAGCGAGCGUGUCGCUUCGGCUCCGAGAACGAGGGCGGGCUGUACCCACGGUACUCGUACAGUGCGUGCACGGUGGCCUGCCGGCGGACGCACCAGCGGCAGCGGUGCGGCUGCAACGAUCACUUCAUGAUUCAGACCAUGGAACAGGAGCACUGCAACAUAUCUGGUAUAUGGUGUCUUCACUCGCAUGCCAGCCACUUGACUGCGCUCAAGCCGCCCUGGGGUGAGCGGCCCGGAAUGGUCUGCGAUUGCUUACCUUCGUGC